GAUGAACGCUGGCGGCAGGCCUAACACAUGCAAGUCGAGCGGAGAUGAGGUGCUUGCACCUUAUCUUAGCGGCGGACGGGUGAGUAAUGCUUAGGAAUCUGCCUAUUAGUGGGGGACAACAUUCCGAAAGGAAUGCUAAUACCGCAUACGUCCUACGGGAGAAAGCAGGGGAUCUUCGGACCUUGCGCUAAUAGAUGAGCCUAAGUCGGAUUAGCUAGUUGGUGGGGUAAAGGCCUACCAAGGCGACGAUCUGUAGCGGGUCUGAGAGGAUGAUCCGGCACACUGGGACUGAGACACGGCCCAGGCUCCUACGGGAGGCAGCAGUAGGGAAUAUUGGACAAUGGGGGGAACCCUGAUCCAGCCAUGCCGCGUGUGUGAAGAAGGCCUUAUGGUUGUAAAGCACUUUAAGCGAGGAGGAGGCUACUGAGACUAAUACUCUUGGAUAGUGGACGUUACUCGCAGAAUAAGCACCGGCUAACUCUGUGCCAGCAGCCGCAGUAAAAC
rnacentral:rRNA from 1 species